rnacentral:rRNA from 1 species
UACGUAGGGCGCAAGCGUUGUCCGGAAUUAUUGGGCGUAAAGAGCUCGUAGGUGGUGUGUCGCGUCUGCCGUGAAAGCCCGGGGCUUAACCCCGAGCCUGCAGUGGAUACGGGCAGACUAGAGGUAGGUAGGGGAGAAUGGAAUUCCCGGUGUAGCGGUGAAAUGCGCAGAUAUCGGGAGGAACACCGGUGGCGAAGGCGGUUCUCUGGGCCUUACCUGACGCUGAGGAGCGAAAGCGUGGGGAGCGAACAGG